GUAGAACGCUGAAGAGAGGAGCUUGCUCUUCUUGGAUGAGUUGCGAACGGGUGAGUAACGCGUAGGUAACCUGCCUUGUAGCGGGGGAUAACUAUUGGAAACGAUAGCUAAUACCGCAUAACAAUGGAUGACCCAUGUCAUUUAUUUGAAAGGGGCAAAUGCUCCACUACAAGAUGGACCUGCGUUGUAUUAGCUAGUAGGUGAGGUAACGGCUCACCUAGGCGACGAUACAUAGCCGACCUGAGAGGGUGAUCGGCCACACUGGGACUGAGACACGGCCCAGACUCCUACGGGAGGCAGCAGUAGGGAAUCUUCGGCAAUGGGGGCAACCCUGACCGAGCAACGCCGCGUGAGUGAAGAAGGUUUUCGGAUCGUAAAGCUCUGUUGUAAGUCAAGAACGAGUGUGAGAGUGGAAAGUUCACACUGUGACGGUAGCUUACCAGAAAGGGACGGCUAACUACGUGCCAGCAGCCGCGGUAAUACGUAGGUCCCGAGCGUUGUCCGGAUUUAUUGGGCGUAAGGCGAGCGCAGGCGGUUUGAUAAGUCUGAAGUUAAAGGCUGUGGCUCAACCAUAGUUCGCUUUGGAAACUGUCAAACUUGAGUGCAGAAGGGGAGAGUGGAAUUCCAUGUGUAGCGGUGAAAUGCGUAGAUAUAUGGAGGAACACCGGUGGCGAAAGCGGCUCUCUGGUCUGUAAC
rnacentral:rRNA from 1 species